rnacentral:rRNA from 1 species
CCUACGGGAGGCAGCAGUGAGGAAUAUUGGUCAAUGGACGAGAGUCUGAACCAGCCAAGUAGCGUGAAGGAUGACUGCCCUAUGGGUUGUAAACUUCUUUUAUAUGGGAAUAAAAUGUUCCACGUGUGGGAUUUUGUAUGUACCAUAUGAAUACGGAUCGGCUAACUCCGUGCCAGCAGCCGCGGUAAUACGGAGGAUCCGAGCGUUAUCCGGAUUUAUUGGGUUUAAAGGGAGCGUAGGUGGAUUGUUAAGUCAGUUGUGAAAGUUUGCGGCUCAACCGUAAAAUUGCAGUUGAAACUGGCAGUCUUGAGUACAGGAGAGGUGGGCGGAAUUCGUGGUGUAGCGGUGAAAUGCUUAGAUAUCACGAAGAACUCCGAUUGCGAAGGCAGUUCACUGGACUGCAACUGACACUGAGGCUCGAAAGUGUGGGUAUCAAACAGGAUUAGAUACCCUUGUAGUC